AACGAACGCUGGCGGCAUGCCUAACACAUGCAAGUCGAACGAGACCUUCGGGUCUAGUGGCGCACGGGUUCGUAACGCGUGGGAAUCUACACUCAGGUUCGGAAUAACUCAGAGAAAUUUGAGCUAAUACCGGAUGAUGACGUAAGUCCAAAGAUUUAUCGCCUGAGGAUGAGCCCGCUUAGGAUUAGGUAGUUGGUGAGGUAAAGGCUCACCAAGCCGACGAUCCUUAGCUGGUCUGAGAGGAUGAUCAGCCACACUGGGACUGAGACACGGCCCAGACUCCUACGGGAGGCAGCAGUGGGGAAUAUUGGACAAUGGGCGAAAGCCUGAUCCAGCAAUGCCGCGUGAGUGAUGAAGGCCUUAGGGUUGUAAAGCUCUUUUACCCGGGAUGAUAAUGACAGUACCGGGAGAAUAAGCUCCGGCUAACUCCGUG
rnacentral:rRNA from 1 species